UGCAUAUCAAAAAGCGGAGGAAAAGAAACCAACAGGGAUUGCCUCAGUAGCGGCGAGUGAAGCGGCAAGAGCUCAGAUUUGAAAUCGUGCUUUGCGGCACGAGUUGUAGAUUGCAGGUUGGAGUCUGUGUGGAAGGCGGUGUCCAAGUCCCUUGGAACAGGGCGCCCAGGAGGGUGAGAGCCCCGUGGGAUGCCGGCGGAAGCAGUGAGGCCCUUCUGACGAGUCGAGUUGUUUGGGAAUGCAGCUCCAAGCGGGUGGUAAAUUCCAUCUAAGGCUAAAUACUGGCGAGAGACCGAUAGCGAACAAGUACUGUGAAGGAAAGAUGAAAAGCACUUUGAAAAGAGAGUGAAACAGCACGUGAAAUUGUUGAAAGGGAAGGGUAUUGCGCCCGACAUGGGGAUUGCGCACCGCUGCCUCUCGUGGGCGGCGCUCUGGGCUUUCCCUGGGCCAGCAUCGGUUCUUGCUGCAGGAGAAGGGGUUCUGGAACGUGGCUCUUCGGAGUGUUAUAGCCAGGGCCAGAUGCUGCGUGCGGGGACCGAGGACUGCGGCCGUGUAGGUCACGGAUGCUGCAGAACCCCCGU
rnacentral:rRNA from 1 species